GAGAAAGCCCUUGGGUACCCAGCUC
rnacentral:piRNA from 1 species